rnacentral:rRNA from 1 species
UACGUAGGGUGCGAGCGUUGUCCGGAAUUAUUGGGCGUAAAGGGUUUGUAGGUGGCCCGCUAAGUCACACGUGAAAUCCCUCAGCUUAACUGGGGAACUGCGUGUGAGACUGGCAGGCUCGAGGGCAGGAGAGGAACGCGGAAUUCCAGGUGUAGCGGUGAAAUGCGUAGAUAUCUGGAGGAACACCGGUGGAGAAGGCGGCGUUCUGGACUGUCUCUGACACUGAAGAACGAAAGCCAGGGGAGCAAACGGG